rnacentral:rRNA from 1 species
CAGGCCUAACACAAGCAAGUCGAACGAAGCCAAAAGGAAGCUUGCUUUCUUUGAAGYUUAGUGGCGGACGGGUGAGUAACGCGUGAGUAACCUGCCCUUCAGUGGGGAAUAACACAGAGAAAUCUGUGCUAAUACCGCAUAACGUCUUCUUGCCGCACGACAGGAAGACCAAAGGAUUUAUUCGCUGAAGGAUGGACUCGCGUCCGAUUAGCUAGUUGGUGAGGUAACGGCCCACCAAGGCGACGAUCGGUAGCCGAACUGAGAGGUUGAUCGGCCACAUUGGGACUGAGACACGGCCCAGACUCCUACGGGAGGCAGCAGUGGGGAAUAUUGGGCAAUGGGCGAAAGCCUGACCCAGCAACGCCGCGUGAAGGAAGACGGUCUUCGGAUUGUAAACUUCUUUGAUUGGGGAAGAAACAAAUGACCUACCCAAAGAACAAGUCACGGCUAACUACGUGCCAGCAGCCGCGGUAAUACGUAGGUGACAAGCGUUAUCCGGAUUUAUUGGGUUUAAAGGGUGCGCAGGCGGCUUGUUAAGCGGGAGGUGAAAUGCCGGUGCUCAACGCCGGAGCUGCCCUUGAUACUGCAGUGCUGGAGUACGGAUGCCGUUGGAGGAAUGAGUGGUGUAGCGGUGAAAUGCAUAGAUAUCACUCAGAACACCGAUUGCGAAGGCAUCUGACGAAUCCGUCACUGACGCUGAGGCACGAAAGCGUGGGGAUAGAACAGGAUUAGAUACCCUGGUAUUCCACGCCGUAAACGAUGAUGACUAACCGCCUGCGAUACAGUGUAGGUGGCCAAGCGAAAGCGAUAAGUCAUCCACCUGGGGAGUACGACCGCAAGGUUGAAACUCAAAGGAAUUGACGGGGGCCCGCACAAGCGGAGGAACAUGUGGUUUAAUUCGAUGAUACGCGAGGAACCUUACCCGGGCUCGAACGGUACAGGACGGACACAGAGAUGUGAACUCCCUUCGGGGCCUGUAUCGAGGUGCUGCAUGGUUGUCGUCAGCUCGUGCCGUGAGGUGUCGGCUCAAGUGCCAUAACGAGCGCAACCCUUGCCGUUAGUUGCCAUCAAGUUAGGUUGGGGACUCUAACGGGACUGCCACCGCAAGGUGUGAGGAGGGGGGGGAUGACGUCAAAUCAGCACGGCCCUUACGUCCGGGGCGACACACGUGUUACAAUGGCGGCCACAGAGGGAAGCUACCUGGUGACAGGAUGCGGAUCUCGAAAAGCCGUCCCAGUUCGGAUCGGAGUCUGCAACCCGACUCCGUGAAGUUGGAUUCGCUAGUAAUCGCGCAUCAGCCAUGGCGCGGUGAAUACGUUCCCGG